rnacentral:rRNA from 1 species
UGGAUCCUGAGUACGGCGGAACACGUGAAAUUCCGUCGGAAUCCGGGAGGACCAUCUCCCAAGGCUAAAUACUCCCUAGUGACCGAUAGUGAACCAGUACCGUGAGGGAAAGGUGAAAAGCACCCCGGAAGGGGAGUGAAACAGUUCCUGAAACCGUGUGCCUACAAGUAGUUAGAGCCCGUUAAUGGGUGAUAGCGUGCCUUUUGUAGAAUGAACCGGCGAGUUACGAUUUGUUGCAAGGUUAAGCGGAAAAAGCGGAGCCGUAGCGAAAGCGAGUCUGAAUAGGGCGCAUAAGUAACAGGUCGUAGACCCGAAACCAGGUGAUCUACCCAUGUCCAGGAUGAAGGUAAGGUAAUACUUACUGGAGGUCCGAACCCACGCACGUUGAAAAGUGCGGGGAUGAGGUGUGGGUAGCGGAGAAAUUCCAAUCGAACUUGGAGAUAGCUGGUUCUCUCCGAAAUAGCUUUAGGGCUAGCCUCGAGGUAAAGAGUCAUGGAGGUAGAGCACUGUUUGGACUAGGGGCCCUUCUCGGGUUACCGAAUUCAGAUAAACUCCGAAUGCCAUGUACUUAUACUCGGGAGUCAGACUGCGAGUGAUAAGAUCCGUAGUCGAAAGGGAAACAGCCCAGACCACCAGUUAAGGUCCCCAAAUAUAUGUUAAGUGGAAAAGGAUGUGGGGUUGCUUAGACAACCAGGAUGUUGGCUUAGAAGCAGCCACCAUUGAAAGAGUGCGUAAUAGCUCACUGGUCGAGUGACCCCGCGCCGAAAAUGUACCGGGGCUAAACAUAUUACCGAAACUGUGGAUGAACCUCUUUAGAGGUUCGUGGUAGGAGAGCGUUCUAAGGGCGGUGAAGUCAGACCGGAAGGACUGGUGGAGCGCUUAGAAGUGAGAAUGCCGGUAUGAGUAGCGAAAGAAGGGUGAGAAUCCCUUCCACCGAAUAUCUAAGGUUUCCUGAGGAAGGCUCGUCCGCUCAGGGUUAGUCGGGACCUAAGCCGAGGCCGAUAGGCGUAGGCGAUGGACAACAGGUAGAGAUUCCUGUACCAGUGCUAAUUGUUUAACCGAUGGGGUGACACAGAAGGAUAGGGAAUCGCACGAAUGGAAAUGUGCGUCCAAGCAGUGAGUGUGAGAA